ACCCUACGUGGUCUCUUUGCAGUCUCCACCUCCUUCAACUCUCCGCCUCCCUCAUCUCUCUCUUUAUUCCUCAAAGCCUUACAAGCCAGUUUCAAGCUAUUUGCUCCAUUUGUCUCUGUGUUUUAAACUAAAGAGCUCUUCUGCCUCUCUUUGGGGUUUCACUAUUUUGCAUUUUCGCCAAGGUAAAAGACCUCUCUGCCACAAAAUCUUUGAAAGCUUUACUCUGUUUCUCUGUUGGAUUCGUGUAUCUGCUGUGGUGCAGUCACUGUUUUGUGUAGUUUUCUGUGUUGGCAGAGUUGUUACCAAGCUUGUUGCAUGUUCUAUUUCGAUGUUUGGUGUUGUUAGUUUGCUAUGUUGAUGCAACUUUUGAUGCUCUUGUUCCACCCAUUUCGAUUAUUUCUAAUCCUUGUGUGAAAAUGUCUGCAUUGAGCAGUAAAACUAGCACAUGUUAAUGACUGCUAGCAAAUAUCCGUCAUGGGCAUAUAUACACAUUAAACUACCCAUUUUGCAUCCUUAAAUGCUUAUGUAUCAGAAGUAUCGACUUGACAAGUAGUUGGAGUAAAUAGGUUGACCCAGCUAUAUAAUGCUCUAACGUGUACACAACUGUGUUAUAAAUAGAAAUAGUUGGUUUCCAUAUGCUCUCAUGUACCACUUGGUUUAUUGGGUAAAGCUUUAAGCUAAUAGGUCCGCAUCUUUCUGAUAUGCUAAGUACAAAUAUACACAGGCAAUAUAGUAGAAGUGCAAGUGCAAGUGCAAAUGUCUUUUUAAUUGUUUAGUUGUACAUUUUUUUGUGCAAUAUGUUUUUGGAAUAUCAGGUGGAAGUUAUUUUUAAGCUUUCUGUCCAAACUUAAAGGAGCUCUCUCAUUCAUCAUCCAAUGUUGUUGAUUCUAUUUGAACAAAUUGCCUUAACUUUGCAUUGGUCCUUUGUUUAUCUAGCUUUUGGCGAUGAUUAAAAUAAAAAGUUGUAUUCGUAUCCCUUGUAUUUUUCUUCUUUUUGGGCAGUCGCUAGCUGAACUUAGAGAGGAGGAAAGUUUGCUAUUGACGGAUUACUGAAAAGAAACUUUUUUUGACAACUAAGCAUUCUGUCCAGCAAUGGAUUGCUGUAAUCUGUUUCACGACUAAGCAUUUUGUUGUAAUGUAAAGCUUUAGAUAUUUUGCCAUAGUUUUUCAUUUCCGGCUCUUUAGUGCUUGUGUUGGUUUUUAUGCAUUUGUUUUGCUUUCUCAAAGUUCUAACACUGUUUGGAGAGUUCACAACAGAAUGAAAUGAAUUAGAGUGGAUAGGUUAUAAAUGAAUGGAAUGUGGAGGACUAUAUUAUUUUCUUUU